rnacentral:lncRNA from 1 species
AUGAAAUCCUGUAAUGCAAAGGUCUCUGAGCACUGCCAUGCAGUGACACAGGCUCCCUGUAGUCUAGAUGCCGUUUGCAUCUGUAGUAUGUGCUCUGUUCUACACCCCUGCCUCCGGAACAGGUCCCUUAGGUUGCCAGGCCCCUCACCUGUGUUUCUCUCUUACCUUCCAGGUCCUCCCUCGUCCACCUGUGUUUCUCUGUUACCUUCCAGGUCCUCCCUCGUCCACCUGUGUUUCUCUCUUACCUUCCAGGUCCUCCCUCGUCCACCUGUGUUUCUCUGUUACCUUCCAGGUCCUCCCUCAUCCACCUGUGUUUGUCUGUUACCUUCCAGGUCCUCCCUCGUCCACCUGUGUUUCUCUCUUACCUUCCAGGUCCUCCCUCGUCCACCUGUGUUUCUCUGUUACCUUCCAGGUCCUCCCUCGUCCACCUGUGUUUCUCUGUUACCUUCCUGGUCCUCCCUCGUCCACCUGUGUUUCUCUGUUACCUUCCAGGUCCUCCCUCGUCCACCUGUGUUUCUCUGUUACCUUCCAGGUCCUCCCUCGUCCACCUGUGUUUCUCUGUUACCUUCCAGGUCCUCCCUCGUCCACCUGUGUUUCUCUGUUACCUUCCUGGUCCUCCCUCGUCCACCUGUGUUUCUCUGUUACCUUCCUGGUCCUCCCUCGUCCACCUGUGUUUCUCUGUUACCUUCCAGGUCCUCCCUCGUCCACCUGUGUUUCUCUGUUACCUUCCAGGUCCUCCCUCGUCCACCUGUGUUUGUCUGUUACCUUCCAGGUCCUCCCUCGUCCACCUGUGUUUCUCUCUUACCUUCCAAGCCCUCCCUCGUCCACCUGUGUUUGUCUGUUACCUUCCAGGUCCUCCCUCAUCCACCUGUGUUUCUCUCUUACCUUCCAGGUCCUCCCUCGUCCACCUGUGUUUCUCUCUUACCUUCCAGGUCCUCCCUUGUCCACCUGUGUUUCUCUGUUACCUUCCAGGUCCUCCCUUGUCCACCUGUGUUUCUCUUACCUUCCAGGUCCUCCCUUGUCCACCUGUGUUUCUCUUACCUUGUUUAUGUACUUCUUCCCCUUCUCUCCUCUAGAUGUCUGUUUCUCUGUCCGUGGUCUCUUCUCUAG